rnacentral:rRNA from 1 species
GGAUGAACGCUGGCGGCGUGCUUAACACAUGCAAGUCGAACGAUGAAGCCCAGCUUGCUGGGUGGAUUAGUGGCGAACGGGUGAGUAACACGUGAGUAACCUGCCCUUAACUCUGGGAUAAGCCUGGGAAACUGGGUCUAAUACCGGAUAGGAGCGCCUACCGCAUGGUGGGUGUUGGAAAGAUUUAUCGGUUUUGGAUGGACUCGCGGCCUAUCAGCUUGUUGGUGAGGUAAUGGCUCACCAAGGCGACGACGGGUAGCCGGCCUGAGAGGGUGACCGGCCACACUGGGACUGAGACACGGCCCAGACUCCUACGGGAGGCAGCAGUGGGGAAUAUUGCACAAUGGGCGAAAGCCUGAUGCAGCGACGCCGCGUGAGGGAUGACGGCCUUCGGGUUGUAAACCUCUUUCAGUAGGGAAGAAGCGAAAGUGACGGUACCUGCAGAAGAAGCACCGGCUAACUACGUG